GGGAGAGUUCCCGAGUGGCCAAAGGGGACAGACUGUAAAUCUGCUGGCAAUGCCUUCAGUGGUUCGAAUCCACUCUCUCCCA
rnacentral:tRNA from 5 species